UUUCGGCCAUCUGCCAAUAGACAGGGGACCUGCCUCGUAGGGACCGGGUCGGUUAGGCUAAAGGAUGAUGGGGUUCCUAAGGAAACCAGCUCUUCUGGUUGGUUCAGGUUUCUGGUGUGCCAGGCCUGAUGCCAGGGACUGUGGUGAUCAAGAUGAAUCAGACCUGGGCCCUGCCCUCAAGGAAGCUCAGGCCACCACAUUUGGAUGCCAACCUCCCAUGACGCUGGACACGGUCUGUGACAUCACAUACUGGUUCAUGGGUGAGGCCCCAGGAUAGCAUUUCAAUCUGUCAUGGACCACUCCCUCCUUCUGGAAACUUCUUUUACAGCCUCCUCUCUCCUGCCUCACUUCCUCUCCAGCUGAUCCCCAGAGCAUUCCAACAGUGGCCUCUCACAACCAUUUCUUUAUUGUGG